ACCUUUAGCUAAACCAGUAUUAAAGGCAACGCCUGCCCAGUGAAUAAUUAAACGGCCGCGGUACCCUAACCGUGCAAAGGUAGCGUAAUCAUUUGUCUAUUAAUUGUAGACCCGUAUGAAAGGCAUAAUGAGGGUUUAACUGUCUCUUUUAGUAAAUCAAUUAAACUGAUCUCCUAGUCCAAAAGCUAGGAUACCAACAUAAGACCAGAAGACCCUGUGAAACUUUAACUAAAAUAUUAAAGCCUAUAAUAACUACUUUAGGUUGGGGCGACCUUGGAAAAUAAAAGAACUUCCAUACACAUAUUAUACAAUAAUAUACCACCGGCCAACAAGCCUACAACGACCCAGCACAGCUGAUAAUUGAACCAAGCUACUCCAGGGAUAACAGCGCUAUCUUCUUCAAGAGCCCAUAUCAAAAAGAAGGUUUACGACCUCGAUGUUGGAUCAGGACAUCCUAAUGGUGCAACCGCUAUUAAGGGUUCGUUUGUUCAACGAUUAAUAGUCCUACGUGA
rnacentral:rRNA from 1 species